rnacentral:hammerhead_ribozyme from 1 species
AUUCGGUUGACGUGCCCCAAAUAGGACGAAAUGUGCAUCCUGGAU